CUACCGUAGGUAGGAACGCCAACAGUAGAGACGCCAACAGUAGAGACGUCUCUACCGUAGGUAGGAACGCCAACAGUAGAGACGCCAACAGUAGAGACGUCUCUACUGUAGGUAGGAACGCCAACAGUAGAGACGCCAACAGUAGAGACGCCUCUACCGUAGGUAGGAACGCCAACAGUAGAGACGCCAACAUUAGAGACGUCUCUACCGUAGGUGGGAACGCC